AAGGCGAGGGAGUCGAGGGGAAAAGAAGAAGGCUCUGCACCGGGAGGUCCACCACGCUGUAGAAUCCUCUUGAUUUUUAAGGGCUGGUACUGGUGGAAGCGUCUUGUGUUGAAGGGGGUUGCCGAAGUGACAAUAGUAACAUUGAACCCUCGAAUAUGCUCGAAGAUCUCAAAAUGAUCUUCCAGUUCCGGGGAGAAUUCGCAAAACUCCGUUUCCAUCGAAAAUUCAGUCUUGUCACCCUUUAAUGACCCUUAUCCUCUCCAUGUUUCGCUUGUUAAUGAGUUUUUGAACUUGGCCCGAUAUAUUGUCAAUGUUUGUAAAAUAUGAUUUUUGUGAAGGAAUUUCAUACCUUUUAUUAGAUUAAGGGGUAUUUUCUUCUUCUGGUUGUGCCAUUCAGGAUAGAAUUUAAUUAUAACUCCUGUUGUUCAUGUUGUUGUUGCAGUCUUGCAAGAGUUUGAAGAUGGAGGCGUUUAGACUGUAUCAUUGCCCAGCCUCAUAUCAGAGAUUGAUGAUGUUUAGCAGAUGAGCUUUCUGAAGAUUGUGUGUUAUAGCAGGAAACAUUUCCCCAAUCGAUGUGGUAACACAUAUGCCCAUCUUAUAUGAGGAAGCUGAUAUUCCAUACAUAUUCCUUCAAAAGAGUUGAACAGGUGACACAUAACCUGGUCAUUUUCUUUGGGUUCAAUCAGCAGUCCAGGUUUUAAAACAUUGCUUGGAGCAAUGUACCCAUCACUAACUCAAGUUUUAGAAGAAGAGGUAAACGAGCUGACAGCCUCCCUCUUCUGAUGGGAAGAGGAAGAAUGCUACGCUUGCUCGUGCAAUUAUUAUUAUUGUUAUUGAUGUUAUUAUUAUGGUUUCCGUUUCAUGUGCUGUCGAUGUCAAUGGGCAAGAUGCAGAUGCUGUGUGUUCUUGUGGGGCACAAAGGACCAAAGCUGUUUCCGUUAUUCUUGUUUUUCCAACAUGAUGGAUAUGUUAGAUGGAUGCUGGAUGCUGGAUGAAUUAUUUCACUGAUUUGUUUGUUUAGAGCAAUUUUUUUAAAUAUUUUUGACUUC